ensembl:ncRNA lncRNA:CR46483 long non-coding RNA:CR46483
ACAGUUGUUUUUCAGACAACAGAGCGGACAACUUUUUCGCAGUUUUAAUUCUUAAUUAAUUAAUGAAUUCGUAUAUAUUUUAUAAGCCGUUUACAUACGCGUUUCGUUUCACGAAUUUUUUUUUUUAAAUCUGACGUGUUGUCAGAAAUACUUUUUUUUUAUGAAAUAACUAAGUGGCAGAAUGAUCUUAUGGUGAUGUGAAAUAAUGAGAUCUGAUUUGAUAUAAUAAAAGGCAAAUACUUUUCAUUUUGGACAGACAAAAAUUACCUUCUUACAAAUCGAAAUAUUCUUACGAGUUAGAAAGCCGGAGCCCAGAUUUUUCAAUUUUAAUUCGAAAUCGUAAGAUACUUACGACUUCGUUAAUUCUUACGAAUAUGUUAAAGAAAGUAAAGGGUAACAUUGUAAAUAUCGAUAACUAACGAGUAAGCGCUAUAUUGUCAUCGACCGUGAACAAUCGAGGAAGAGCCAAACGAACAGUCGGCAAAGAAUAAAAAAUAAAAUACAGUAAAUAUAAGUUUUUAACGUGAGGGGUAAAAGAAAACAGAUUUGUUAUGAGAUAUAUUAAAAAAGACGAGACUUGAGCUGAAAGCUAUCCUAGAGCGAGAGAACGGUUUUUGCCAAGACGACUCCACCAUUAAUCAACUGCGAGCAGCGGCGAAAACCAUAAUGGACGAUUAGAAAUGAAACUAAAAAAAAUGCUUCUCAGCCGCGAAAGAUGCCAUCAAAUGUUGAUACACCCUCAAUGUCUUUAGUAAGUAAUAACAGUAAUGCAGCCUUGGCUGAAGAAGCAGAUAAAAUCAUGCAAGUAGACCUGCCUGAAAGUAGUUCUGAUUAAGAUGAAGCAACUCCAGCUGCUGAUCAUAGAAGCAGACAAUCUUUAAAUACUGCUAAGCCUCCAGCCAUUUGUGUCCCAAACAUCAGUAAUUCCCACUCCCUGGAACUAGAGCUGAAUUCGGGUGCUGGUGAGAGCCACUAUACUUUACGAACAUCGAAAUUUGGAGUGUCACGGUUAUACACGGUCAACUCUGGGGCCUUCUGUGCCGUUAUAAACAAAAUAAGUUCUAUUAAUUGUAAGUUCUGGCAUCAUCAAUUAAAAGAGGACAAGCACUACAGUGUCGUGCUCAAGGGAAUACAUGCAUGUUCCCAAGGAACAAAUUAAGAAAGCAUUUGUUGAUCUGGGAUACAAAACUCUCAACAUGUAUUGCCCGAGAAAGGGAGAUUGGUGGAACGAACCAAUUUGUGAUGGGGAUGACGAUGCGGCUAUCAACCACAAGGCAAAACCUGUUCUUCGUUAAUCUAAAAUACGGAUUAAAAAUGUAUGAUUUUCUGAAGGUAACGUAACUUGGUAGACACAGAGUCACCAUAGAACGCGCUCGUCGCACUUAAGAAGUGCUGCAAUGUCUGAGAUUCCACAUUUUUGGGCACUCAAAAAACUAUUGUCUCCAGGAUUUAAUCUGUGGCAAGUGAGCUGGGCCCCACGCAACUGGCUCUACGCUAUGCACGAGGACAAUUAUUUGUGUAUCAACUGCGGUGGUGAUCAUGCUGCAACUGACAAUAACUCCCCAAGCCUCCCUACUUUUGUUGCUCAUGGCAAUACUGUCAGCUCUUUUUAGCAUCUUUAGCAUCGGUGUAUCUCCCUCCCAGUGAGCCGUUGAUAAAAGCUUAUAUUGAGUCACUUUUUAUAACUCUUGGUGGCAAAUUUAUAGCAGGUGGAGACUACAAUGCCAAACAUCAUUGGUGGGGAAACUCAAGAACCUGCGCUAGAGGCAAACUCAUACAGGCUGCAGCAAAUGGCCACCACCAAAUUUUGGCAGCUAACAUUUUUCUCCUCCAACACACAGACCAUGCCAUGCCAAUGAAGAAGCCUCUACGCUCCCGUUUCCUAGCUCCUGGUACUCAUGUCGAGACUUUCAAGGAACACCUGUCUGAACUAAUCGACUUAAACAUGGAAAUUCAAAUAACAGAAGGUAUUGACAACGCCAUAAGCUUAUUUAUGGAAAAACUGAAAAACUGCUUCACGCAAGCCUUUGUUCAGCCGCUCCUACCUUUUGCAAUAGUUGACCUCCUUCGGAAGUCAGAAAGGAAUUUGCAAGAAAGGAGAUGUCCUAAUUCUCCCAGUGGAGAAUCACGAAAUUGUUCAAGUUUUAGGCUUCUCAGAAAUCCGCUAUAAGAAGCCCAUCUGGUGGUUGGUGCCGCACAUCACAGGACAAAGCUUAUCAAGCAGCUUGGAGCAAAGAUUUAAGCCGCUCGCACUUGCCGAUGCGUAUCAUUGCCGUCUGGUUGCAGAGUCUCUUAAAACGCCAUUUCAAAUGACACUGCCCGCGGAUCCAGUCACUCUCGAAGAACUGAAACAACUUGUUUCCAUGUUGAAGUCAAAAAAAGCCCCGGGUCAUGACCUUCUCGACAAAUGAACGAUAAAAAUCUUACCAGACCAAGCUCUGCGAUUUGUGGUACUCAUUUUUACCAGUGUUUUACUUUAGGGUUAUUUCCCUCAUUGCUAUGUGAUUUCCAAUUCGGAUUCCGGACUCAACACCCGAGCAACUCCAUAGAGUUGUCAAUUUUGCACUAGAAGCCCUAGAAAGGAAAGAGUAUGAGGUAGCAGCUUUUCUGGACAUUCAACAAUUCACCCCAGCUAUUCCAGCUUAUGACGAGCUUUUUGUUAGGAUGAACUUUCUGUGAGACGACCGACUAAUGCACUUCGUGUAUUAAAGCCAUCGAAGCUGGAGUACCUCAAGGAAAUGUGUUAGGCCCUACUCUAUACUCCAUCUUCUUCGCGGACAUGCCAACCCAGACAGCAGUCACUGGAUUAAAUCGUAAAGAUGUGCUGAUUACAACAUAUGCGGUACUGACAAAAAGCAACAGCAAGAGAACUUGGACGCAUUCCAGAAUUGGGCAGAGUUGUAGAACAUCUGCAUCAAUGCUGACAAAUUUGCAAACUGCAACUUCACAAAGCGCAUAGUUGCCAUUGUGUCUCACUUAAAGGAAGAGUGCUUGACCACAAAUCAUCAUACAAAUAUCUUGGAGUGAUUUUGGAUAGAAGUUUAACCUUCGGAAAGCAUAUCUCGGCGAUAUAGCAGUCCUUUAAAAAUAAGGUUUCUAAAAUGGUAAUUGCUGCCCGCAACAAGCUUUCCCUCGCCAAAAAGGUUAAAACUUACAAGAGCAUAUUAGCUCCUGGUCUAUUCUAUGCCAUAGACAACUAAGUAUCGCAGCCCAAAGCCAUCCGACAAGUACUAGAAGAUGAUUGAAACGCCACCACCCUCAAGACCUGACUGACCGGGACCUGAGACAAAUCCUACUUAAUUAAAAUCUCCUAAAUAUUACAGCCUAAACAUUCAAUUUCUUAAAUACUCUUAAUCAUAUAAUCUUUGUAAAUAGCAUAGAUAUUAAGAAUAGUUAUAACUGAUACCGAUUAGAUUAAGUUGCCCAAGAAGGGUAAUAGUACGCUAGUCAAUUAAAUUAAAUAAUUAUGUUUAAUGUAAAAAUAAAAUGUUUUACAUAAAAAAAUGAAAAUUAAAGUUGAGCGUUUUAUUUGAAAUUGUUUUUCGUGCAUUUUGCAUUCGGUGCCGAGAUGUUUUCACAAUAGAACCUUGGAUAGUUUUACACACUCCAUAUAGACUAUUUAGGCUUUUACCAAAGACACUAGAAUAACAAGAUGCGUAUCGGCCAUACAUUGGUUUGGCACUAUGCAGCCACUUUUUUGGUGACGGCCAAAAUUGCCCUCUGUCCGCUCGCUUACGCUGAGAGCGUAAGAAAUCUAAAAAUAGAAUCUGCCUGCUUGUGUGAGUAAAAACAAGAGACGAGAACGCGUAUAUGUGUGCGUGUUGUGCUAGAAUACGAUUUUCGGGCCGAAAUCAAUUCUGAUCGAAGAAACGAAUUUACAUAUUUGGGGAGUUUUGGCCAAUUUCGUAGCAAUAUGAUGAAAUUGCGCGCUUUUUAGAAAUAGCAAAUUGGAAUAUAAAAAAAAAACACUGAAUAUGAAAAACAACUGAAUCUAAUGUGCAUUUUAAAUCAUAAAAUUGGAUAUUUUACAUACAUCAUAUUAAGUCAAAUGACUUAAUAAAUAUACUAAAUAAUUAAAGGAAAUGUAAAGGAAAUUAUUAUAACUACUGUAAUUUAGGACAAAAAUUUUUCAAAAAGAAGACAUUACAUUGAGAAAUAAAUAUUUCAUAAAAAUAAUACGAAGUAGAAAAUAUAAAUUUAUAAAAUUAAAAAAAACAUGAAAACUGUUUAUUGCAAGAGUCAUAUCAAAGACACUAGAAUUAUUCUAGUGUCAUUGCUUUGGUCAUAUCUUGAGGCACGAAGUGCGGUCACAAGCACUCAACAAUCAGUGCCCUAUUAAUUUUUCACACGCCGCAAGCUGAAUACUCUAAUGACAAAUAUUCUAAUAUAAAGUCACUUUUAAAAUUUAUUUUGUGAUAUUAUGGUUCGGCUAUUACUAUUCCUAAGCUAUAUUUAAAUAAGAAUAAUCUUAAGGCAAUGCAAAACAAGAAUUUUUCGCAUGGUGCCAAUUGAUCAAAAAUAAUAUAGAUUUAAAGGCUAAGAACUUCUAAGGUGAAGGGCAUAUUUUGUCAAAUUUACAAUGCAUGAGCAUACGUGUGCACACAUACAGCUGUCUGCUAUCACUGUAUGCGUAGAAAAGAGCUGUUCGCUGUUGCGCUCUCCGCUCUCUCGCUCUCGAACAAAAAUUCGAGAGAGCCUUGAGCCACCUCUAGAGCCACGGCGAAAAAAUCGUGUUCCAAAAAAUCGUAUGGCGUUACGCAUCUUGUUGUUCUAGUGUAUUUGCCCUUACCGUGAGUAAUUUCAAAGAGAAAGAACCACCGGGUUUUGUCUAUGAUUUUAUCAAAAUUGUCAGACUCUUUCCCAUUAAUACCACUAGUACAAGAGAAGAGAUAGAUUCUUUGAUUUUUACAGUGAACCCCAUAGAACUAUAUCGGUCACUUAACUUCAACACCUUUUGUCAAGAGCGACACUUUGAGCAAUGUUUGCCAUAUGCACAAGAACAGUUGUAUCGACAAUUUUUUUCCCCAUAGUUCGCCACUUCGUAGUCAACGUUGUGGCCAACCGACUAGCGUACACAGCGUAACAUUCGGCACCAGCCAGGCGGCUGUUGAGUUAUUUACAAAACAUUGCGACCGGCGUCUUUUCGAUUUCGAAGCGCUGGAGAAAUAAGUCCUGGAACUCUUUCCAAGUCAUACCGUUAUACAAAAUUUGCGUAAGCCACUAGGAUGCGCUCUCGCCUAGAGUAUGGCUAAUUUCCUUUUUCUCUAGGUGUAUUUCCUUUUUUCGUGUCGCUAUCGCACUCUUUUCAAGAUUACAGAUAAUAGGAUUAAGUUUAUUCUGUUCUAUUAGUCAGAACAUAAUACUCUGUAGGGGUCUUGCAACUCAUAGUUUGAUCUACAGAGAUUUAAGAUAAGGGGUACGUAGUUUCUAGUGAAUCUGCUUGAAACAGAGAAGAUUAGCUGACUAACCAGAACGGGGCUAUCAACUUCACCACGAAUAAGCUUACACAUAGCUAGGGAUGGUAAAUUAAUUAAAAGUCGUCUACUGAAAUAAGGAGGUAAUAUACGGUUUGCAUCCCAAUUUAGGCGCUGCAAGGCAAAAAGUAAAAAGUUUUUUUUGGACUGAUUUAAUGCGGGCUACGUGGACUAUGUAUUGUGGACUCCAAACUGAUGAUCCAUACUUAAGAAUCGGACGGACUAACGAAAUAAAUAAGGUUUUAGUCUAGUAAGGAUCAUCAAAUUCCUUAGACCACCUUUUUAUAAAACCAAGCACACCCCUGGCCUUAUUGACAACAGUCGAAAUAUGGUCAGAAAAUUUUAGUUUAGGGUCCAGAAGAACACCAAGAUCAUCAACCCGUGUUAUUCUGUUCACAGGGCAGCCACUUAGAGUGUAAGUCGUGCGUAUUGGGUUAAAACGACAAAAGGUCAUAACUUUACACUUUAAGUCUAAUACGUCUAAUAAGUCUAAUACGUUAUCACGGCACUAUACUUGAAAUCGGUCUAGAUCGGAUUGUAAGUCCAAAUGGCACGAAGUGUCCUUGUACUGGAGGCAUAAUUAAACAUCGUCUGCGUACAUAAGUACACGCGAAUGUUUUAUUACUAAGGGGAGGUCGUUAAUGAAUAAGGUAAAAAGAAGCGAACCAAGAUGGCUCCCUUGUGGGACACCGGAUGUGACUCGGAGAAUACAAGAUAGAGAAUUUUUAAGGAGGACUUGUUGCGUCCUGCCAUUCAGAUAGCUUGAAAUCCAAUUCAGAAGAUCAACAGGGAAACCUAAAAGAUCAAGUUUCCUUACUAGAAGGUAAUGAUUAACAGAGUCAAAUGCUUUACUGAAGUCAGUGUAGAUGACAUCUGUUUGAAGAUUAUUUCUGAAACCCUGUAUUACGAAAGAAGUAAGCUGCAUGAGGAGCUGCGUUUCAUAAAACCGUGCUGACACGGUGAUAUGGUCGAUCUACAAUGGUGCUGCAAAUGAAGAGUGAUAAUAUUUUCAAAAAGUUUUGGGAUAGCCGACAAUUUAGAGAUUCUUCUGUAAUUGCUUGCAUCCAGUUUGCUACCUUUUAUAUGAAGAGGAAUCACAAAGGACUCCUUCCAUAUAUGAGGGAACUGUGCAGAUUCCAGAGAUAAGGUUAAUAGUUUCAGUAGAGGCUUGCACAAAGCUUCCGCACAGAAUCUGAGCACACAGCCAGGGAUUCUAUCGGGACCUGGCGAAUAGACAGAUUUAACACGCUGAAGAUCGUUAAGCAGUGAGCUUUCGUUUAUAGUGGGGCAAAAUAUUAGAUUCGACUUAGAUACCGCAUAAGAGUAUGGCUGUUCGGAAUGAGGUAAAGUUAAAUAUUUUGUUUGAAAAAACAUGGCGAAUAGAGCGGCUAUUGCCUGAUCCGAUGUUUCCGUAGUGUUUUCAAAAAAUAGCGAGGAAGAGUAAACACUUGUUUUUCGCUUAGGGCUAACGAAAUUAUAAAACUGUAUCGGAUCCUGUGCAAACUGGAACUUACAACGGUUUAAAUAAUUCCUAUAGCACUGAGCAUUUAGCACGGUAAAGUUUAAACGAGUGCUUAAAUAUUUAGAAAGGAUGUAUAGUAACUUAUGUAGUUACCGCUUUAGUUAAUUACUAAGUACAAUAUCUUGUUGUUUUAUGCCGUAAGCUUGUUGCGCGCGGAGCUGAAGUUUUAGUGUGUCCAGUCUGACGAUAUCAGAAGAUAUCGUCCUCCAGGAAAGGUCUUGGCGUUAGUACCUGUUUUCGCCGUGAUGCCAGACCGGGCUUCAGUCUGGGCGCCACAUCUACUCCCCCUCCAGUGACUUCGCCAGGUGGUGAAGGUAACGGUAUAAAUUCUGGAGCUGCAGGUGCAGGGCUCGGCGGUUUAGGUGGCUGCGAAAUCUGUUGGUCAGUCGGUUGAUCCUCGUGGUGGUCUUCGCAAGCGUCAGCUUCAGCUAAGAAGGCAGGCUUGAGGAGAUCGACUGAUAUGGCCUUCUCUUGUCCAUGAAUGCUGAUGAUGUAGAACUUGUCAUCAACCCGGCGUAUUACCCGAUGAGGUCCCGUGUAAGGCGGCUCGAGUGGUUUCUUAACAGAUGCCACUCGCUUGAAGACGUGCGUACAAGUUCUCAGGUCCUUACAAAUGAAAACAGGUGGUUUAGCAUGAUGCGCUGCAGGAGUAGGUCGGGCUGCCCUGAUAUGUUGACGUAGUUGCUCGGUUAGUCGGUGAUCCUUGCUGAAGGCGGUUGGAGUGUGCGAUUCAAAAAAUUCGUUGGGGAUACGAAUAGUGGUGCCAAAAAGCAUUUCGGCUGGCGAUGACUGGAGGUCCGCCUUAAACGCCGAGCGCAGGCCCAACAGAACUGUAGGUAGGAGAUCCGGCCAUGCUAUGUGAGACUUACACAUCAGGGCGGCCUUGAGGGUUCGGUGCCAUCUCUCCACGAUGCCAUUUGACUGAGGGUGAUAUGCGGUUGUACGAAUCCUUUCGGCUCCAAUUAAUUUAGCCCAGCUCAGCAAACAAUGAGGAUUCAAAUUGAGUUCCCUGGUCCGUUGUUAUAGUGAGUGGGCAGCCAAACAUGCAGAUCCACUGUGUAUACAGAGCUGUCGCGACAGUCUCCGCGGUGAUAUUGGAUAGUGGAAUAGCUGCAGGCCAUCUGCUGAAGCGGUCGAUGAUGGUAAGACAGUAGCGUAAGUUACGGAUUGUGGGAAGUUCAAUCAGAUCGACGUGAAUGUGCUCGAAACGAUUGUCAGGAACAUCGAUCUUCUCCAUUGGGCUGCGUGUGUGGCGAUGGAUUUUGGCCCGCUGGCAAGGAACGCAUUGUCGAGACCAGAGGGUGGCAUCACGGUUAAUUGCUGGCCAGACAAACCGCUGUUUAAGUAAUUUUGCAGUUGUACGGCCGCUGGGAUGCGCCAAUCCAUGUACUGCAUCAAAAGCUUGGCGUCUCAGACUUUUGGGUAAAUAUGGCCGCUCGCGUCCACCCGAGAUGUCACACCAGAUGUCUAGGUUGUCGAUGUUCCUAACUUGUAAACCCAGGGACGUGAGAGAGCUCAGCCAUUUCAUCGUCGGUUUGUUGGGCCUCGAAUAUCGCUUGAGCACUGAAGCUAGACGGCAUGCUUAUGGUGUUGAUGCGUGAGAGGGCGUCUGCCACUGCGUUGUUUUCCCCGGGAUUGUACACUAUCUCCGUUGAGAAUUGGGAGAUAAAAUCCAAUUGGCGGAGUUGUCGAGGCGAUGCUUUGCUUGCUUUCUGCCUGAAAGCGUAUUGCAAUGGUUUAUGGUCGGUUUGGAUGAUGAAUGGACGACCCUCUAGAAUGUGCUUGAAAUGGAUGAUACCAGCGAAAAUAGCCAGGAGCUCGCGAUCAUACGUGCUGUAGCCUUGCUCUGCCGGAGAUAGUUUCCUCGAGAAAAACCCGAUGGGACGCCAAAUGUUGCCGACUAGUUGUUCGAGAGCAGCACCGAUCGCUGUAUCGGAGGCGUCCGUUUUAAGGGCGAGGUGAGCCGAUGGGGAAAGGAACGAAGAGCACGUGGCACGUAAAAUUCCUUGCUUGCAGGCCUGGAAUGCACUCUCCGCAGGGCCGGUCCAGGCUAUUUCGCGCUUGUCAUUUUUGGUUGCGCCUUUUAGGUAGUCUGUGAGCGGGAUUUGAGCCUGAGCUGCGUUUGGGAUGAGAUGUCGGUAAUAGUUGACCAUUCCCAAAAACCGGCGCAAUUCCAUGAUAGUUUGAGGCUUGGGAAAAUUGUUGAUUGCUUGCGUGCGCUCAACAGGGGGCUUGAAUCCGCUCGCGUUGACUUGGAACCCUAAGAAAAUAACCUCACUUUUACCAAAUUGGCACUUUUUAGGGUUAAUUUGGAGGUGGUUCCUCUGCAAAAUCUCAAAGAUUGUCUGGAGGUGCUUCAAAUGCUCCUCAUGCGUUGUGGAGAACACGAUGAUGUCGUCCAUAUAGCAUCCCACGAAUGGAAUGCCACGAAGCAGGUUGUCCAUGUGGCGCUGGAAGGUUUGCGCUGCAUUGCGGAGUCCGGGUGGCAUGCCGACAAACUCGAAAAGGCCGAACGGUGUAGUGACGGCUGUUUUCGGAAUAUCAUCUGGAGCGACUGGGAUCUGGUGGUAGGCACGCACCAAAUCGAUUGUGGAGAAAACCGAGCAUCCAUGCAGACGUUGAAGAAUGUCUUCCCCAUGGGGAAUCGGAUAACGAUCUGGAAUAGUGGACGCAUUAAGUUUGCGAUAAUCCCCAGUAGUACGCCAUUCGUUGCUCCCCUUGGGGACCAAAUGAAUAGGACUGGCCCAUUGACUGCUGGAGGGACGAAUCACUCCUUGCUGGAGUAAGAGAUCGAAAUCUCGGCGUGCCGCUUUUAAUUUUUCGCCUGUAAGCCGUCUUGGCUUGUCGAAAACAGGUGGGCCAGUUGUUUGAAUGCAAUGCGCAACCUCGUUAUGAAUGCGGGUUGCUAAAGGCACAUUAGGACGUGUGAUCUGCACAAAGCGACUAAGAAGAUUGGAGUACGGGCGAUCUAUUCCACUGGAACUUUGCACGUUGAUUGUAGAAACGUUGUAGAGUUUUGCUUCUGCAACUUCUCCUUUGGUCGAAACAGCUUUUGAGGGAUCCAUAAGGCGUUUACCCUUGAGGUCGAGGAUGAGGCCGUGGUGCGUGAGGAAAUCUGCUCCGAUGAUUGCUGAUUGGACGUUCGCAACGACGAACGACCAGGUGAAGUUACGCCGUAAGUUGAGACCAAAAGUUAGAUUUAGCGUGCCGUAGGUAUCAAUUAUAGACGUGUUGGCCGCGUAGAGUUUGAAGUCGUCUUUGCGACGAUGCAAUUACAACAUAUGCGGUACUGACAAAAAGCAACAGCAAGAGAACUUGGACGCAUUCCAGAAUUGGGCAGAGUUGUAGAACAUCUGCAUCAAUGCUGACAAAUUUGCAAACUGCAACUUCACAAAGCGCAUAGUUGCCAUUGUGUCUCACUUAAAGGAAGAGUGCUUGACCACAAAUCAUCAUACAAAUAUCUUGGAGUGAUUUUGGAUAGAAGUUUAACCUUCGGAAAGCAUAUCUCGGCGAUAUAGCAGUCCUUUAAAAAUAAGGUUUCUAAAAUGGUAAUUGCUGCCCGCAACAAGCUUUCCCUCGCCAAAAAGGUUAAAACUUACAAGAGCAUAUUAGCUCCUGGUCUAUUCUAUGCCAUAGACAACUAAGUAUCGCAGCCCAAAGCCAUCCGACAAGUACUAGAAGAUGAUUGAAACGCCACCACCCUCAAGACCUGACUGACCGGGACCUGAGACAAAUCCUACUUAAUUAAAAUCUCCUAAAUAUUACAGCCUAAACAUUCAAUUUCUUAAAUACUCUUAAUCAUAUAAUCUUUGUAAAUAGCAUAGAUAUUAAGAAUAGUUAUAACUGAUACCGAUUAGAUUAAGUUGCCCAAGAAGGGUAAUAGUACGCUAGUCAAUUAAAUUAAAUAAUUAUGUUUAAUGUAAAAAUAAAAUGUUUUACAUAAAAAAAUGAAAAUUAAAGUUGAGCGUUUUAUUUGAAAUUGUUUUUCGUGCAUUUUGCAUUCGGUGCCGAGAUGUUUUCACAAUAGAACCUUGGAUAGUUUUACACACUCCAUAUAGACUAUUUAGGCUUUUACCAAAGACACUAGAAUAACAAGAUGCGUAUCGGCCAUACAUUGGUUUGGCACUAUGCAGCCACUUUUUUGGUGACGGCCAAAAUUGCCCUCUGUCCGCUCGCUUACGCUGAGAGCGUAAGAAAUCUAAAAAUAGAAUCUGCCUGCUUGUGUGAGUAAAAACAAGAGACGAGAACGCGUAUAUGUGUGCGUGUUGUGCUAGAAUACGAUUUUCGGGCCGAAAUCAAUUCUGAUCGAAGAAACGAAUUUACAUAUUUGGGGAGUUUUGGCCAAUUUCGUAGCAAUAUGAUGAAAUUGCGCGCUUUUUAGAAAUAGCAAAUUGGAAUAUAAAAAAAAAACACUGAAUAUGAAAAACAACUGAAUCUAAUGUGCAUUUUAAAUCAUAAAAUUGGAUAUUUUACAUACAUCAUAUUAAGUCAAAUGACUUAAUAAAUAUACUAAAUAAUUAAAGGAAAUGUAAAGGAAAUUAUUAUAACUACUGUAAUUUAGGACAAAAAUUUUUCAAAAAGAAGACAUUACAUUGAGAAAUAAAUAUUUCAUAAAAAUAAUACGAAGUAGAAAAUAUAAAUUUAUAAAAUUAAAAAAAACAUGAAAACUGUUUAUUGCAAGAGUCAUAUCAAAGACACUAGAAUUAUUCUAGUGUCAUUGCUUUGGUCAUAUCUUGAGGCACGAAGUGCGGUCACAAGCACUCAACAAUCAGUGCCCUAUUAAUUUUUCACACGCCGCAAGCUGAAUACUCUAAUGACAAAUAUUCUAAUAUAAAGUCACUUUUAAAAUUUAUUUUGUGAUAUUAUGGUUCGGCUAUUACUAUUCCUAAGCUAUAUUUAAAUAAGAAUAAUCUUAAGGCAAUGCAAAACAAGAAUUUUUCGCAUGGUGCCAAUUGAUCAAAAAUAAUAUAGAUUUAAAGGCUAAGAACUUCUAAGGUGAAGGGCAUAUUUUGUCAAAUUUACAAUGCAUGAGCAUACGUGUGCACACAUACAGCUGUCUGCUAUCACUGUAUGCGUAGAAAAGAGCUGUUCGCUGUUGCGCUCUCCGCUCUCUCGCUCUCGAACAAAAAUUCGAGAGAGCCUUGAGCCACCUCUAGAGCCACGGCGAAAAAAUCGUGUUCCAAAAAAUCGUAUGGCGUUACGCAUCUUGUUGUUCUAGUGUAUUUGCCCUUACCGUGAGUAAUUUCAAAGAGAAAGAACCACCGGGUUUUGUCUAUGAUUUUAUCAAAAUUGUCAGACUCUUUCCCAUUAAUACCACUAGUACAAGAGAAGAGAUAGAUUCUUUGAUUUUUACAGUGAACCCCAUAGAACUAUAUCGGUCACUUAACUUCAACACCUUUUGUCAAGAGCGACACUUUGAGCAAUGUUUGCCAUAUGCACAAGAACAGUUGUAUCGACAAUUUUUUUCCCCAUAGUUCGCCACUUCGUAGUCAACGUUGUGGCCAACCGACUAGCGUACACAGCGUAACAUUCGGCACCAGCCAGGCGGCUGUUGAGUUAUUUACAAAACAUUGCGACCGGCGUCUUUUCGAUUUCGAAGCGCUGGAGAAAUAAGUCCUGGAACUCUUUCCAAGUCAUACCGUUAUACAAAAUUUGCGUAAGCCACUAGGAUGCGCUCUCGCCUAGAGUAUGGCUAAUUUCCUUUUUCUCUAGGUGUAUUUCCUUUUUUCGUGUCGCUAUCGCACUCUUUUCAAGAUUACAGAUAAUAGGAUUAAGUUUAUUCUGUUCUAUUAGUCAGAACAUAAUACUCUGUAGGGGUCUUGCAACUCAUAGUUUGAUCUACAGAGAUUUAAGAUAAGGGGUACGUAGUUUCUAGUGAAUCUGCUUGAAACAGAGAAGAUUAGCUGACUAACCAGAACGGGGCUAUCAACUUCACCACGAAUAAGCUUACACAUAGCUAGGGAUGGUAAAUUAAUUAAAAGUCGUCUACUGAAAUAAGGAGGUAAUAUACGGUUUGCAUCCCAAUUUAGGCGCUGCAAGGCAAAAAGUAAAAAGUUUUUUUUGGACUGAUUUAAUGCGGGCUACGUGGACUAUGUAUUGUGGACUCCAAACUGAUGAUCCAUACUUAAGAAUCGGACGGACUAACGAAAUAAAUAAGGUUUUAGUCUAGUAAGGAUCAUCAAAUUCCUUAGACCACCUUUUUAUAAAACCAAGCACACCCCUGGCCUUAUUGACAACAGUCGAAAUAUGGUCAGAAAAUUUUAGUUUAGGGUCCAGAAGAACACCAAGAUCAUCAACCCGUGUUAUUCUGUUCACAGGGCAGCCACUUAGAGUGUAAGUCGUGCGUAUUGGGUUAAAACGACAAAAGGUCAUAACUUUACACUUUAAGUCUAAUACGUCUAAUAAGUCUAAUACGUUAUCACGGCACUAUACUUGAAAUCGGUCUAGAUCGGAUUGUAAGUCCAAAUGGCACGAAGUGUCCUUGUACUGGAGGCAUAAUUAAACAUCGUCUGCGUACAUAAGUACACGCGAAUGUUUUAUUACUAAGGGGAGGUCGUUAAUGAAUAAGGUAAAAAGAAGCGAACCAAGAUGGCUCCCUUGUGGGACACCGGAUGUGACUCGGAGAAUACAAGAUAGAGAAUUUUUAAGGAGGACUUGUUGCGUCCUGCCAUUCAGAUAGCUUGAAAUCCAAUUCAGAAGAUCAACAGGGAAACCUAAAAGAUCAAGUUUCCUUACUAGAAGGUAAUGAUUAACAGAGUCAAAUGCUUUACUGAAGUCAGUGUAGAUGACAUCUGUUUGAAGAUUAUUUCUGAAACCCUGUAUUACGAAAGAAGUAAGCUGCAUGAGGAGCUGCGUUUCAUAAAACCGUGCUGACACGGUGAUAUGGUCGAUCUACAAUGGUGCUGCAAAUGAAGAGUGAUAAUAUUUUCAAAAAGUUUUGGGAUAGCCGACAAUUUAGAGAUUCUUCUGUAAUUGCUUGCAUCCAGUUUGCUACCUUUUAUAUGAAGAGGAAUCACAAAGGACUCCUUCCAUAUAUGAGGGAACUGUGCAGAUUCCAGAGAUAAGGUUAAUAGUUUCAGUAGAGGCUUGCACAAAGCUUCCGCACAGAAUCUGAGCACACAGCCAGGGAUUCUAUCGGGACCUGGCGAAUAGACAGAUUUAACACGCUGAAGAUCGUUAAGCAGUGAGCUUUCGUUUAUAGUGGGGCAAAAUAUUAGAUUCGACUUAGAUACCGCAUAAGAGUAUGGCUGUUCGGAAUGAGGUAAAGUUAAAUAUUUUGUUUGAAAAAACAUGGCGAAUAGAGCGGCUAUUGCCUGAUCCGAUGUUUCCGUAGUGUUUUCAAAAAAUAGCGAGGAAGAGUAAACACUUGUUUUUCGCUUAGGGCUAACGAAAUUAUAAAACUGUAUCGGAUCCUGUGCAAACUGGAACUUACAACGGUUUAAAUAAUUCCUAUAGCACUGAGCAUUUAGCACGGUAAAGUUUAAACGAGUGCUUAAAUAUUUAGAAAGGAUGUAUAGUAACUUAUGUAGUUACCGCUUUAGUUAAUUACUAAGUACAAUAUCUUGUUGUUUUAUGCCGUAAGCUUGUUGCGCGCGGAGCUGAAGUUUUAGUGUGUCCAGUCUGACGAUAUCAGAAGAUAUCGUCCUCCAGGAAAGGUCUUGGCGUUAGUACCUGUUUUCGCCGUGAUGCCAGACCGGGCUUCAGUCUGGGCGCCACAUCUACUCCCCCUCCAGUGACUUCGCCAGGUGGUGAAGGUAACGGUAUAAAUUCUGGAGCUGCAGGUGCAGGGCUCGGCGGUUUAGGUGGCUGCGAAAUCUGUUGGUCAGUCGGUUGAUCCUCGUGGUGGUCUUCGCAAGCGUCAGCUUCAGCUAAGAAGGCAGGCUUGAGGAGAUCGACUGAUAUGGCCUUCUCUUGUCCAUGAAUGCUGAUGAUGUAGAACUUGUCAUCAACCCGGCGUAUUACCCGAUGAGGUCCCGUGUAAGGCGGCUCGAGUGGUUUCUUAACAGAUGCCACUCGCUUGAAGACGUGCGUACAAGUUCUCAGGUCCUUACAAAUGAAAACAGGUGGUUUAGCAUGAUGCGCUGCAGGAGUAGGUCGGGCUGCCCUGAUAUGUUGACGUAGUUGCUCGGUUAGUCGGUGAUCCUUGCUGAAGGCGGUUGGAGUGUGCGAUUCAAAAAAUUCGUUGGGGAUACGAAUAGUGGUGCCAAAAAGCAUUUCGGCUGGCGAUGACUGGAGGUCCGCCUUAAACGCCGAGCGCAGGCCCAACAGAACUGUAGGUAGGAGAUCCGGCCAUGCUAUGUGAGACUUACACAUCAGGGCGGCCUUGAGGGUUCGGUGCCAUCUCUCCACGAUGCCAUUUGACUGAGGGUGAUAUGCGGUUGUACGAAUCCUUUCGGCUCCAAUUAAUUUAGCCAGCUCAGCAAACAAUGAGGAUUCAAAUUGAGUUCCCUGGUCCGUUGUUAUAGUGAGUGGGCAGCCAAACAUGCAGAUCCACUGUGUAUACAGAGCUGUCGCGACAGUCUCCGCGGUGAUAUUGGAUAGUGGAAUAGCUGCAGGCCAUCUGCUGAAGCGGUCGAUGAUGGUAAGACAGUAGCGUAAGUUACGGAUUGUGGGAAGUUCAAUCAGAUCGACGUGAAUGUGCUCGAAACGAUUGUCAGGAACAUCGAUCUUCUCCAUUGGGCUGCGUGUGUGGCGAUGGAUUUUGGCCCGCUGGCAAGGAACGCAUUGUCGAGACCAGAGGGUGGCAUCACGGUUAAUUGCUGGCCAGACAAACCGCUGUUUAAGUAAUUUUGCAGUUGUACGGCCGCUGGGAUGCGCCAAUCCAUGUACUGCAUCAAAAGCUUGGCGUCUCAGACUUUUGGGUAAAUAUGGCCGCUCGCGUCCACCCGAGAUGUCACACCAGAUGUCUAGGUUGUCGAUGUUCCUAACUUGUAAACCCAGGGACGUGAGAGAGCUCAGCCAUUUCAUCGUCGGUUUGUUGGGCCUCGAAUAUCGCUUGAGCACUGAAGCUAGACGGCAUGCUUAUGGUGUUGAUGCGUGAGAGGGCGUCUGCCACUGCGUUGUUUUCCCCGGGAUUGUACACUAUCUCCGUUGAGAAUUGGGAGAUAAAAUCCAAUUGGCGGAGUUGUCGAGGCGAUGCUUUGCUUGCUUUCUGCCUGAAAGCGUAUUGCAAUGGUUUAUGGUCGGUUUGGAUGAUGAAUGGACGACCCUCUAGAAUGUGCUUGAAAUGGAUGAUACCAGCGAAAAUAGCCAGGAGCUCGCGAUCAUACGUGCUGUAGCCUUGCUCUGCCGGAGAUAGUUUCCUCGAGAAAAACCCGAUGGGACGCCAAAUGUUGCCGACUAGUUGUUCGAGAGCAGCACCGAUCGCUGUAUCGGAGGCGUCCGUUUUAAGGGCGAGGUGAGCCGAUGGGGAAAGGAACGAAGAGCACGUGGCACGUAAAAUUCCUUGCUUGCAGGCCUGGAAUGCACUCUCCGCAGGGCCGGUCCAGGCUAUUUCGCGCUUGUCAUUUUUGGUUGCGCCUUUUAGGUAGUCUGUGAGCGGGAUUUGAGCCUGAGCUGCGUUUGGGAUGAGAUGUCGGUAAUAGUUGACCAUUCCCAAAAACCGGCGCAAUUCCAUGAUAGUUUGAGGCUUGGGAAAAUUGUUGAUUGCUUGCGUGCGCUCAACAGGGGGCUUGAAUCCGCUCGCGUUGACUUGGAACCCUAAGAAAAUAACCUCACUUUUACCAAAUUGGCACUUUUUAGGGUUAAUUUGGAGGUGGUUCCUCUGCAAAAUCUCAAAGAUUGUCUGGAGGUGCUUCAAAUGCUCCUCAUGCGUUGUGGAGAACACGAUGAUGUCGUCCAUAUAGCAUCCCACGAAUGGAAUGCCACGAAGCAGGUUGUCCAUGUGGCGCUGGAAGGUUUGCGCUGCAUUGCGGAGUCCGGGUGGCAUGCCGACAAACUCGAAAAGGCCGAACGGUGUAGUGACGGCUGUUUUCGGAAUAUCAUCUGGAGCGACUGGGAUCUGGUGGUAGGCACGCACCAAAUCGAUUGUGGAGAAAACCGAGCAUCCAUGCAGACGUUGAAGAAUGUCUUCCCCAUGGGGAAUCGGAUAACGAUCUGGAAUAGUGGACGCAUUAAGUUUGCGAUAAUCCCCAGUAGUACGCCAUUCGUUGCUCCCCUUGGGGACCAAAUGAAUAGGACUGGCCCAUUGACUGCUGGAGGGACGAAUCACUCCUUGCUGGAGUAAGAGAUCGAAAUCUCGGCGUGCCGCUUUUAAUUUUUCGCCUGUAAGCCGUCUUGGCUUGUCGAAAACAGGUGGGCCAGUUGUUUGAAUGCAAUGCGCAACCUCGUUAUGAAUGCGGGUUGCUAAAGGCACAUUAGGACGUGUGAUCUGCACAAAGCGACUAAGAAGAUUGGAGUACGGGCGAUCUAUUCCACUGGAACUUUGCACGUUGAUUGUAGAAACGUUGUAGAGUUUUGCUUCUGCAACUUCUCCUUUGGUCGAAACAGCUUUUGAGGGAUCCAUAAGGCGUUUACCCUUGAGGUCGAGGAUGAGGCCGUGGUGCGUGAGGAAAUCUGCUCCGAUGAUUGCUGAUUGGACGUUCGCAACGACGAACGACCAGGUGAAGUUACGCCGUAAGUUGAGACCAAAAGUUAGAUUUAGCGUGCCGUAGGUAUCAAUUAUAGACGUGUUGGCCGCGUAGAGUUUGAAGUCGUCUUUGCGACGAUGCAAUCCCUUGAUUAUCGAAACAGGUAUAAGUGAGAUGACUGAUCCGGAGUCGAUAAGGAAUUUUAUGUGGGUAUUACGAUCGAUUAUGUGAAGUCGGUACUCCUUUGAGAGGCGAGUGCUUGGAGGUCUGCUGUCACCAGUCGCCUGAACAGGUGACAGCUUCUUUAGUUUCCCUGCUGUGGCACCCAGGCACAGGGCGAGGAGCAUUUUCGUGCAUUAGGUCCGAAUUUGGCAUGAUAAAAGCAGACACGUGGUGCUCGGAGUUGCUGCUGGUUGCGAUCGGCUGAGCGAGAAUGGCUGGGAGGCUGCAUGUUCUGCAGAAGAGUUAAAGAGGCCUUGAUGGCAGCGAUGUCGCGUUUCAAGUCGUCCACGACACUUGUGCCAGCAGCCGGCGCGUAUUCGCGGGUGUUACCUCUGAAUUGUGCCGAGGAGGACCCAGCAGCCAUGACAAAAGAACCCGAUUCCUCUUCCAUGAGAUCGUCAGCGAGUGCA